AGAGUUUGAUCCUGGCUCAGGACGAACGCUGGCGGCACGCUUAACACAUGCAAGUCGAACGAGAGAAGAGGAGCUUGCUUUUCUGAUCUAGUGGCGGACGGGUGAGUAACACGUGAGCAAUCUGCCUUUCAGAGGGGGAUACCGAUUGGAAACGAUCGUUAAUACCGCAUAACAUAAUUGAACCGCAUGAUUUGAUUAUCAAAGAUUUAUCGCUGAAAGAUGAGCUCGCGUCUGAUUAGCUAGUUGGUAAGGUAACGGCUUACCAAGGCGACGAUCAGUAGCCGGACUGAGAGGUUGAUCGGCCACAUUGGGACUGAGACACGGCCCAGACUCCUACGGGAGGCAGCAGUGGGGAAUAUUGCACAAUGGAGGAAACUCUGAUGCAGCGAUGCCGCGUGAGGGAAGAAGGUUUUAGGAUUGUAAACCUCUGUCUUCAGGGACGAAAAAAGACGGUACCUGAGGAGGAAGCUCCGGCUAACUACGUGCCAGCAGCCGCGGUAAUACGUAGGGAGCGAGCGUUGUCCGGAAUUACUGGGUGUAAAGGGAGCGUAGGCGGGAUCGCAAGUCAGAUGUGAAAACUAUGGGCUUAACCCAUAAACUGCAUUUGAAACUGUGGUUCUUGAGUGAAGUAGAGGUAAGCGGAAUUCCUAGUGUAGCGGUGAAAUGCGUAGAUAUUAGGAGGAACAUCAGUGGCGAAGGCGGCUUACUGGGCUUUAACUGACGCUGAGGCUCGAAAGCGUGGGGAGCAAACAGGAUUAGAUACCCUGGUAGUCCACGCCGUAAACGAUGAUUACUAGGUGUGGGGGGACUGACCCCUUCCGUGCCGCAGCAAACGCAAUAAGUAAUCCACCUGGGGAGUACGACCGCAAGGUUGAAACUCAAAGGAAUUGACGGGGGCCCGCACAAGCAGUGGAGUAUGUGGAUUAAUUCGAAGCAACGCGAAGAACCUUACCAGGUCUUGACAUCGUAUGCAUAGCUCAGAGAUGAGUGAAAUCUCUUCGGAGACAUAUAGACAGGUGGUGCAUGGUUGUCGUCAGCUCGUGUCGUGAGAUGUUGGGUUAAGUCCCGCAACGAGCGCAACCCUUACUGUUAGUUGCUACGCAAGAGCACUCUAGCAGGACUGCCGUUGACAAAACGGAGGAAGGUGGGGAUGACGUCAAAUCAUCAUGCCCCUUAUGACCUGGGCCUCACACGUACUACAAUGGCUGUAAACAGAGGGAUGCAAAGCCGCGAGGUGGAGCGAACCCCUAAAAGCAGUCUUAGUUCGGAUUGUAGGCUGCAACCCGCCUACAUGAAGUCGGAAUUGCUAGUAAUCGCAGAUCAGCAUGCUGCGGUGAAUACGUUCCCGGGCCUUGUACACACCGCCCGUCACGCCAUGGGAGUCGGUAACACCCGAAGCCUGUAGUCUAACCGCAAGGAGGACGCAGUCGAAGGUGGGAUUGAUGACUGGGGUGAAGUCGUAACAAGGUAGCCG
rnacentral:rRNA from 1 species